rnacentral:rRNA from 2 species
CACCGCGGUUAUACGAGAGGUUCAAGUUGAUGGUGUGCGGCGUAAAGUGUGGUCUAUUAACUACCCUAAUAGGAUUAAAUAGUCGCAACGCUGUUAUAUGUUUACGUAAUCAUUAAAACCCUUACGAAAGUUAUCCUAAUAUUCUUAACCCACGAGAGCCAAGACC